GGAGGAAAGCAGGGGAUCGUAAGACCUUGCGCUUUUGGAGUGGCCGAUGCCUGAUUAGCUAGUUGGUGGGGUAAGAGCCUACCAAGGCGACGAUCAGUAGUUGGUCUGAGAGGACGACCAGCCACACUGGGACUGGGACACGGCCCAGACUCCUACGGGAGGCAGCAGUGGGGAAUUUUGGACAAUGGGCGAAAGCCUGAUCCAGCAAUGCCGCGUGAGUGAAGAAGGCCUUCGGGUUGUAAAGCUCUUUCAGUCGAGAAGAAAAGGUUGCGACUAAUAAUCGCAACUUAUGACGGUAUCGACAGAAGAAGCACCGGCUAACUACGUGCCAGCAGCCGCGGUAAUACGUAGGGUGCGAGCGUUAAUCGGAAUUACUGGGCGUAAAGGGUGCGCAGGCGGCUCUGUAAGCCAGAUGUGAAAUCCCCGGGCUUAACCUGGGAAUUGCGUUUGAAACUACAAGGCUAGA
rnacentral:rRNA from 1 species